rnacentral:rRNA from 1 species
UGCCAGCAGCCGCGGUAAUACGAGGGGAGCAAGCGUUAUUCGGAAUUACUGGGCGUAAAGGAUGCGUAGGCGGCACUUUAAGUCGAUUGUUAAAUCUCACAGCCUAACUGUGAGGCUGCGGUCGAAACUGGGGUGCUAGAGUACGGGAGAGAGAAGUGGAAUUCUCGGAGUAGCGGUAAAAUGCGUAGAUCUCGAGAGGAACACCGAUGGCGAAGGCAGCUUCUUGGUCCGUAACUGACGCUAAAGCAUGAAGGCGUGGGGAGCAAACAGGAUUAGAUA